rnacentral:rRNA from 1 species
AAACUAGGAUUAGAUACCCUAUUAGUAUUAAAUAACAUUUAGUAGUAGUUGAAUAACAUGAAACUAAAAUUAAUUGGCGGCUUUUUAAAUUUUUUAGAGGAAUUUAUCCUAUAAAGGAUGCAACACCAAAAUCUUACUUUUUCUUGUAAUUUUAGUUUGUAUAUCGCUAUUGAAAAAUGUAAAGAUAUAUUUUAUUUAGCUUAAACAUAAUAAUAUUUUAGGUAAAGAUGCAGCUUAUGGAAAAGAUUGAGAUAAAUUACAUAAAUUUUUAUUUAACUGUCUUUAUAUUGUAAUAAUUAUAAGUAUAGAAGAAUUUAAAAGUAAAAUAAUAAAUUUUGUUUAUUUGAAUAAAAUUUUAGAUGUGUACAUAUUGCCCGUCACUCUCUUUUAGAGAUAAGUCGUAACAUAGUA